rnacentral:rRNA from 1 species
AUAUGCACAAUGGGCGAAAGCCUGAUGCAGCGACGCCGCGUGAGGGAUGACGGCCUUCGGGUUGUAAACCUCUUUCAGUAGGGAAGAAGCGAAAGUGACGGUACCUGCAGAAGAAGCGCCGGCUAACUACGUGCCAGCAGCCGCGGUAAUACGUAGGGCGCAAGCGUUAUCCGGAAUUAUUGGGCGUAAAGAGCUCGUAGGCGGUUUGUCGCGUCUGCCGUGAAAGUCCGGGGCUCAACUCCGGAUCUGCGGUGGGUACGGGCAGACUAGAGUGAUGUAGGGGAGACUGGAAUUCCUGGUGUAGCGGUGAAAUGCGCAGAUAUCAGGAGGAACACCGAUGGCGAAGGCAGGUCUCUGGGCAUUAACUGACGCUGAGGAGCGAAAGCAUGGG